UCCCUGGUGCACAAAUUUCGCGCACCAGGCCUCUAGUAAAUAAAAUAAGUCUUGAAUACACAGAGGAGGAGAAAUAAAGUCAAGCCAAUUAACUUAGGACCCAGAGGGCUCAGUAAACAAGCAGCUGCAGCCAAGUUCGAGACCUUCAUUUGAGAAUUAGCCAUGAUAGGAUAGGAGCAUUAUCUGAGAAAGAAGUAUGUGAUGGGAGCCUAGAGGGAGGUAUCAGUACGCCCAAGAAAGCCAGGCAAGAAGUUGGAGCUUGAAGCUUGUGUUUAAGCAUCCUAGAC